CAUUAUUGAAGUAAACCUGAUAAGUUGCUGCUGGUUCUUUUGGGAGCAUGUGCACACUUGUCAUCUUUAUAUCUUCACCUGUGCACCUUUUGUAGACCUGAGUAUCUCUCUGGAUGCUUUUUAGCACUCAGGAUUUGAGGAUUGACUUUUUUUGUCUCUUCUUCACAUUUUCAGGUCUAUGUUUCUUCAUAUACCCUAUGUAUGUUAAUAGAAUGUCAUUAAUGGGCCUUUGUGCCUAUACAAAUUACAACUUUCAGCAACGGAUCUCUUGGCUCUCGCAUCGAUGAAGAACGCAGCGAAAUGCGAUAAGUAAUGUGAAUUGCAGAAUUCAGUGAAUCAUCGAAUCUUUGAACGCACCUUGCGCUCCUUGGUAUUCCGAGGAGCAUGCCUGUUUGAGUGUCAUUAAUAUAUCAACCUUCUUUGGUUGGAUGUGGGUUUGCUGGCCUCUUGAGGUCAGCUUUCCUCAAAUGCAUUAGCGGACAACAUUUGCCAACCGUUUAUUGGUGUGAUAAUUAUCUACGCUAUUGAYGUGAAGCAAGGUUCAGCUUCUAAAUGUCCAUUGACUUGGACAAAUUUAUUUUAUUAA
rnacentral:rRNA from 1 species